rnacentral:ncRNA from 1 species
AAGCCCAUCGGGGCAACGGAUACCUGGGGUUUUUU